rnacentral:rRNA from 1 species
AACGAACGCUGGCGGCAGGCUUAACACAUGCAAGUCGAACGCCCCGCAAGGGGAGUGGCAGACGGGUGAGUAACGCGUGGGAACAUACCCUUUCCUGCGGAAUAGCUCCGGGAAACUGGAAUUAAUACCGCAUACGCCCUACGGGGGAAAGAUUUAUCGGGGAAGGAUUGGCCCGCGUUGGAUUAGCUAGUUGGUGGGGUAAAGGCCUACCAAGGCGACGAUCCAUAGCUGGUCUGAGAGGAUGAUCAGCCACAUUGGGACUGAGACACGGCCCAAACUCCUACGGGAGGCAGCAGUGGGGAAUAUUGGACAAUGGGCGCAAGCCUGAUCCAGCCAUGCCGCGUGAGUGAUGAAGGCCUUAGGGUUGUAAAGCUCUUUCACCGAUGAAGAUAAUGACGGUAGUCGGAGAAGAAGCUCCGGCUAACUUCGUGCCAGCAGCCGCCGUAACAC